rnacentral:rRNA from 1 species
AUUGAACGCUGGCGGCAGGCCUAACACAUGCAAGUCGAGCGGAUGAAGGGAGCUUGCUCCUGGAUUCAGCGGCGGACGGGUGAGUAAUGCCUAGGAAUCUGCAUGGUAGUGGGGGAUAACGUCCGGAAACGGGCGCUAAUACCACAUACGUCCUGAGGGAGAAAGUGGGGGAUCUUCGGACCUCACGCUAUCAGAUGAGCCUAGGUCGGAUUAGCUAGUUGGUGGGGUAAAGGCCUACCAAGGCGACGAUCCGUAACUGGUCUGAGAGGAUGAUCAGUCACACUGGAACUGAGACACGGUCCAGACUCCUACGGGAGGCAGCAGUGGGGAAUAUUGGACAAUGGGCGAAAGCCUGAUCCAGCCAUGCCGCGUGUGUGAAGAAGGUCUUCGGAUUGUAAAGCACUUUAAGUUGGGAGGAAGGGCAGUAAGUUAAUACCUUGCUGUUUUGACGUUACCAACAGAAUAAGCACCGGCUAACUUCGUG